UCUUUUCUCAUGCUUUCUAUCUUCUAAUUGAUGAACUUGUCUCUUUUUCCUCUACCUUUUCACGGUUUUACCUCAAACUCUCGCUUUAUCACUCCUACAAAUUCAAGCCAUGAAAUUCGAAGGCUUGCAAGGAACCUUCUGAUCGGUUCUUUAUCUCCAAUUUUAACAAUCAGGAAUUGGAGCUUCUUAGAGUUGAUGCAUAGAGGAUACGAUGGUAGAUGCAGUUGCGGUGGUGUAUUAAUGUUCUUGACUCACUCGACCUUAUUCCAGUUACAUAUAUCCAACCAAAAAGAAGGAAAAAAAGAGUUAUGCAAGCGCAAGGAAUGCACAAGUAGUCAAGUAAGCAUAAU